rnacentral:lncRNA from 1 species
UUUCAUUAUAUAACCACUUUUUCAAUACGAAUUUACAUAAAAAAUAAUAUUUUAAUGAAAUACAAUUCAGUGUUAAAACAAAACAUGAAAUGCACCCUACAAGCAAACCCACACAAUUACUUCAGCAAAACCUCCCAAAAAUUAGACAAAUAGCCCCAAACAAAACUGCAGGAAUCCAACUCUUCAUCUUCCACCAGAGGCAUGCCAGAUCCAUAUUAUUACUUCAUCUAUAGCCUCAUAAUUAAGUCUUCCUUGAUUGAAAUAUAUAUAAAGCUGCUGUCCCACAAUCUGCACUAUGCAUUAGUUCAAAUUUAUGAAAAUUUUAAACAAAUUAAGUACCUUAACAAACCAUCGUCGUCAUAAACCAUUACCAACAUUUCACAAAAUCCAUCUUCAGUUAUAGCCAAUGUCAUCACCAGGGGAGAAAAAAUAUACAUUUAAGAAGAAAGUUAGAGUUACCUGGUACGCGGCUCCAUUGCAGAUGGAGAGUUUCUGAGUCGUCACCGUAAUCGCUAACGACAGUCCUAAUAACUGGAGCUCUUCAACUAAUUCAUUUUCUUAUGAGCAGCAACAAAUUUCUUUAAAGCAUUUGCGAGGAACUGAAAUGGACUCUGAGAAUUGUUGUUUCGAAUUUGGUAGAUGAACAAGGUUUUCAGUUGAGCUACUAAUCUCUGGCUAAAAGCAUGCUUCCAGUGGUUAUUUGAGUGUCUUAGACACAUUAAUUCUUGAAAACUCAAGAAAAGGACUCACAAAAGAGAAAAUAGAGGUGGCUAACGAGCCGGGUGUCGCAUGGCACGUUUAUUAUCCAGCGGUUAUUUGAGUGUCUUAGACACAUUAGUUCUUAAAAACUCAAGAAAAAGACUCACAAAAGAGAAAGUAGAGGUGGCCAGCGAGUCGGGUGGCACAUGGCACGUGGCACGUGGCACGUGUCACGUGGCACGUGUCACGUGUCACGUGACACGACACGAUAUGAGUAUAUUUUGGUAAGACAUGUGAUACGGUAUCACACACAUGUAAGCCAGGCGAAGUUUAAAUUUUUAAGUAUGUUGAUCUUAAAAGUACAGCACGAUAAGCGGUGGGACAAAGCACAACACAUGAAAAGGUACGUAAUAAACACGCUUUAUUGGUGGACUAGUACGUGACCCGUGAGCUAUCAAUAGCAUGAGGACCAAAAUAUAUCAAAGUAAAAUUUUUUAAUAAAAAGUAAAAAUAAAAUAUUAUGAUUUUACAAAUAUUUUAAAAUUAAUUUUUUAAUAUAUUUUAUUAAAUUAAUUUUAAGUCUUAGUUUUAAAAAAAUUCUAAUUGUUUUAUGUUUAUCAUUUAUUAAAUGAAUAAAUAAAUAUCAUAGUUUUAAU